AAAGAUGGAUGCAAAUGCUGGGAAAGCAAGAGUUGAAUUGCUAGCCAUGAGGAAAACGUAAGCCUGAGCUGUUUGCUGGCCAUCUUUGCUUCCACAUGGGGAUGGCCUGCCUGGAAAUGAAGCCACACAGAGAAAACAGAAGAGCAGUGAAGAGAAGGGUAAAAGGAGAGAUCCCAUGACAUGAUUUGCACUCUUAGAUCCAGUUAUGCCUGAUGCAGGACCCACCCCUUGGACUUCCCAUUUCCAGGAGCUAAAACUAGACUGAGUUGAGUUUCUGUCACUGACAGUUGACAGAAAAUAUCAACAAUCCAGCCACAUGGAGCCUCAUGGCAGUACCACUAACCCUGGUCACCACAUGAAUACUGACCAGAGGCAUUUCACCUGAAUCAACUGUUUGUGUUCUUAACUCCAUCUCCUCAUCUGCUUCCUGGAAGACCCAACUGACAUAGAUGGUUACAAGAAAUGAUUUCCUCCUUAUAAAACUCUAGAUCUAGUGGGUUUGCAAGAAACCCUCCCAGGGCAGCAGCCUUAGAGGAAGUGCCUGCUAAUGCAAGAAGGAGGGCAAGGGGGACAGCAAGCUGGAGCCUGGAGCUGCUCAUGCGCUUGGAAUCCUCGGCGGGCGCAGGCGGGGAUUUACGGACCUGCCUUUUCCCUCAUCAUUCCGCAGGAAGCUUCUUUAAAUGAGCCUCAGCCCAGCAGCUCUCAUGGGGCCUGGUGUUUAUAGUGGAGACUGAGAUAAAAGAACCGUGGAGAUGCCAGCCCUGGAUAUCGACCCCACGGUCCAGGAAUCAUCAACUGGGCCCGAGGGCAAAUUGUGUUCUGUUUUCUCUGUGCGAAAUGCCAGAAUGCUCCUGCCUCGAAGAGGUUGACUCUGUUGUCAGCUGUGGGAAAAAACAGCCAGAGUUGCUAUUUACACCCUGAACUGCAAGCUGGGUAAAAAUAGCGCUAGCAGCUUGGUCCAGCUUCAAACCCCACUGCAGAGAGAUUAUUUUUGGAAGAGAAGAUUUUCCUCCCCACCCACAGAUCUGAAAAUGGUCACCUCCCCGGAAGAAAGGGGGAGAGAUGAUCCCACGCAAAGGUGAAACCUACCCCCUUCCCACUUUCCCUGCCCAGGACAGCACAUCAAGAGACAGACAAGAAAUGCCCUCCCCUGACAGCAGGUCAGGCCCAGCACAGCCCUGCAGCUGACCUAGUUCAAGGUACAGUGAGAAUUAAUUAACUUUGACUAAGUGAGAGGAGGCAGCUUUCUGAACCUGGAUGCUGCACCAUCCUGUUGCUUGUUAUGGCUAAAGGCAGAAAAAAUAAUUGAUCAAAAGAGUACGCAAGACCCCAAAACAAUAGCUCAGAGCCUGAGGGUCAGGAAAUUACUCUCCAGCCCUCCCACUCCGGAUAGGCCGUGAUACGGCUGUACAAUGAUGAACAAAUUCCCAAAAGCUUGGUCUGGUCCUGCUUCUGUGUUGAGAACCCCUGGCAGCUGGGGGCUGAAAAUUCUUCCCUCAGCUACUUGCUAGAGCUCAGGACCCGGUGUCUGGAGUUCCAGAACCUCCUUCAGGUUCAGGAAGUGAUCCACAUGACAAUCAGUGGAAGAAAAGUCAUUCCUUAAUAGCAUGCCCUUUAUUCUGUAAAAAGAUAUUUUAUAGGUACAUCUAAGUAUGUGGAUUAUGCUAUCUUAGAACUCUAAAAAGAUAUACACAUGUGGAUAGUUCUUAUCAGGUAAAACUAUAUUAAGACUAUGUGAAAAACAGCAGAGAAAAAUACCAGAUCCAUGGUGUCAUGAAAUUGUUCUAUAAUCUGAAAGCACCCAGGCUGCCCAGAGCUGAAACCAAGAGGUGCUUAAUAAGUAUUUUUAGGGAGGAAGAGAAAACACCUCCCACAUCCUACCUCCAUCCAAACCUCCUUCUACGGAGAUCCAGGAACCAAAAUGAAUCUUCCAGUUUGAGAAGACAUACCUCGGCAUCCCCACCCACCUGAUAGAAAGGCGAGAGAAUGACAUAGCGCUCCCCCAACCUCUCAGCACCCCCUACCCAACACACCAGAUCUUCACUACCCUGGCCUCAGUGUGAGCUUUGGGGUAGCAACAAAGUCGGGGACACCUGGGUCUAGGUAGAAGUGGCACAGAUGGGCAUGUGCCAGGGGCACAAGGGCAGCUCAUGCCUGGCUUCUCCUCCGGCGGCAGACAGACUGAGGUUUUAGUCUCGUCAUUGUCACCUGCUAGCUGUAUGACCAACUCACUUCACCUUUUUGAAAUCUGUUUUCCUCGCUAAGAGGGCUGAUACCACCCACCUGCUGGGGUUGGUGAGAACGAGCUGAAGCAGCACGUGUGAAGGCUGUUUGGUGGCUGCUGCAGAGUGAGGGCUAUUGUGCAUCCAGGGGCAGUCCUGUUUCUCCGGGGCAUAUCCUGGGCCAGAUUCGGGGAUCUGUCUUACUUCCAGCUACCUGACGAUGGGGAGUCUACCAGACGGCUAAAGUCUGAACUCUCUGAGAAAUGCAUGGCAUUGACAGAAAUUGCUAAAAAUGUCCUUUCUCCACAGUGUGAGGCCCUCCUGCACCCUGCCCUUCAUUUACCGUGGCCCUUCACCUGAAAUGAAAAUGGUCACCUCCAAGGAGCCAGAAACAGAAUCUCCCUAAUUGGGUGUCUCUGCCAAUGGGGGUUGUCCGGCCAGCUAAGGGCUGGCUCAGCACAGGCUUCUCAGCUGAGGGAGGUCACGGAAAUGGAGUCCCAGUGCCCCUUUCCAAGUCUCAUCUACUCAUGACAUCGGGAGGGAAGAGUUGCUGCUCUGCUGAGUCAUAGCUAUUUAAGCUAUCAGUACUCCGGGCUCGGAGACUCCCCAAGGACCUGGGAAAGACAGCUCAAUAUCCCUUUGAUCAGGACUGCUUCGGGUUUCUAUUUCCAAAGUUGAGAAAUCCAGAUAAUGCUGACUCCUGCCCAGGAACGAAGUGAGCUCAGGUCUCUCUCACUGACCUCCUGCUGAGAAUUGUAGGCCAAGGUGGCCGGGCUCUCCCUUCCAGCCUAAGUCAGCUUCCUUCUGAGUCAGCAUUCUUCACCUCCCUAUUAAUAGCCACUGCUUUGGCUGACUCCAUGCACAGUAUGAUUACAGUUUAAUAAUACGUCUCAAACCAGGAAGCAGUCACCUUCCUGGAGCUGGGCUGUGGAGGGCCCCCAGAGCAGAGGCUCCAUCCCAGAAAGCAGAGGCCAGAACAGCUGCAGAGAGGCUGGGGAGACAACGUAAUUGGCCUGCAAGACAAGUCACUGCUUUGGGGGUUCUGUCUCACUGAGCUUCCUUUUGUUUAGGGCAGGAGACAUGGACACAGGCUAACUUUCAUUUUAUUCUCACAGAUAUUCUUGGGCAGGACUGAAAAAGUGUGGCUAUCUUAUCCAAUUAUGCAGACCCCUCAGCUCACUGGAACGGCCAGUUCUAGGCCAACCUGGGGUUAGCCCCUUCCAGUGUCACCUUUUCCCUGUCACGACAGUAACACUGUGGCCUACUUAAAGAGGCUCAGGGCCAGGUGCAGUGGCUCACACCUGUAAUCCCAGCACUUUGGGAGGCCAAGGUGGGCGGAUCACGGAUCACCUGAGGUCAGGAGUUCAGGACCAGCCUGGCCAACAUGGUGAAACCCCAUCAUUACAAAAAUACAAAAAUUAGCUGGGCAUGAUGGCGGGUGCCUGUAAUCCCAGCUACUCGGGAGGCUGAGGUGGGAGAAUCACUUGAACCCAGGAGGCAGAGGUUGCAAUGAGCCAAGAUCGAGCCACUGCACUCCAGCCUGGGCAAUACAGUGAGACUCUGUCUCAAAAAAAAAAAAAAGGAUCAGAUUGUCCAGAUGGGAUGGGAUGCUGAGACCAGAUUGAACCCCAGCAAAAAAUAAAUAAUUUUUUUUCACUUCACCCCUCUUCCCUUUCUCUGUUUCUCCCCAGGAAAGGCAAACAAGCUAAACGUGCUUUAGCAUUAGAUCAUACUGAGAAGCAAUGAAGUCAGGCCACCCGGUAAUUUGUUCCAGACUUCCCAUCCCUUGUGGGCCCUGAAUGGGCAAAACAUACAGGUUUAGGAGCCAGACAUCCUGGGUUCAAAUUCUCACUUAGCCUCUGAGCUGAGAGGGCUUAGUAAAUUUACUCCACUUUUCUGAACCUCCAUCUUCUUAUGUAUAUAAAAGGGAUAAUAAUAUAUCCUGAAAUGAUUUUAAUGCAAAUGAAAUGAGACAACUUUAAAAAGUAUGCCAAGUACUGUGCCUGGAGUAUAGUAAGUGAUCAAUAAAC
ensembl:lncRNA LINC01476 long intergenic non-protein coding RNA 1476